ACACACUAACUUGUGCACUAACUCUUAACCCUCUGAAAUGCGCGCACACACACACACACACACACACACACACACACACGACCUGUGUGACGUGAAGGACGUACAAGGACACCACAUGUUUCUUUUCAAACGCAGUCACAUUUAUUGUCCUUUUCUAUGCCCAGUCACUGAGCAGUCUGAUGAGCUGUCAAAUCAAUACGAUAUAAUGCAGUCAAUGGAGGUCUCACGUUUACCCAAAAUAAAUACAAGACUGAAAUAGUGUUGCACAGCUCCAAAAUAUACAAAGGCUUGGAAUUAAUUCAUUAAUUAAUCAUGUAAACUUUGAAAAUAUUUUACAAAAAAGAAAAAGAUCUUUGCAACAUUUUUAAAAAGGUUUACUAUUUACAUUUAGUUUUGUACAAAAAUACAAAAAGGCGAUCUGUUAUGUUCCAGCUUUGAGCCAGGAGCAUCUUGUACCGCCCGAGCCAGUUACACUGUACCACUCAUCCUUUUAAAUAGUUGGUUUUGUUUUUCAUCUUUUUAAAGUAGGUUUUUCAUGUUUUAAUGUUAAUGUUUAAAGUUUCAAAAUCGUUUUUUUUUGUGUGUGUUGGUUCUUUCCAGUACACUUCUGACURUCUGAAACCCUUUGGCAGAAGCACGGCCUGUGCUAUCCUGAUCAUGCAUCCUAAAUGAAUGAACCAUGUAUAAUAUAUUUUAAUCGAUAGGGGAAAUACAGUCUUUUACACAAAUCAUCACAUAUCAUCAUCAAUAUAACUUCAGGUUACAGCAAAAAGGAAAACACUUCACAAGCUCCACUAUACCAGUGCAAUAGGAGAAUAUCUUUUAGUUGGUUUUUAAACUUCAGGGAAUCAUGUCUCAGAGGAAAACAGUAUUUUUUGUUAAAAUCCGAGGUUAAAAGGUGUCUAGGUCAAUGCAAACAAGAGAAGAUUAUUACCUCUGGCUCUCACUUCCGUGUUGGGGUAUUACACUUCUGUGUUGGGGUAUUACACUUCGGUUGGGGUAUUACACUUCUGUGUUGGGGCUAAUUGUACACUUUCUGUGUUGGGGUAUUACACUUCUGUGUUGGGCUAUUACACUUCUGUGUUGGGCUAUUACACACUGUCAGGUGUUGGGCGAUUACACUGCUGUGUUGGCUAUUACACUUCUGUGUUGGGGGAUACCUUCUGUGUUGGGGCUAUUACACUUCUGUGUUGGGCUAUUACACUUCUGUGUUGGGCUAUUACACUUCAGGGUUGGGCUAUUACACUUCUGUUUGGGCUAUUACACGUCGGUUGGGCAUUACACUUCAGGGUUGGGCUCAGAAUCCAUUUCAAUUCCAGUCAAUUCCAGGAAGUAA
rnacentral:lncRNA from 1 species